AUUGAACGCUGGCGGCAUGCUUUACACAUGCAAGUCGAACGGUAACAGGUUAAGCUGACGAGUGGCGAACGGGUGAGUAAUGCAUCGGAACGUGCCCGAUCGUGGGGGAUAACACUUCGAAAGAAGUGCUAAUACCGCAUACGAUCUGAGGAUGAAAGCGGGGGACCGUGAGGCCUCGCGCGAUCGGAGCGGCCGAUGUCAGAUUAGGUAGUUGGUGGGGUAAAGGCUCACCAAGCCGACGAUCUGUAGCUGGUCUGAGAGGACGACCAGCCACACUGGGAGUGAGACGCGGCCCAGACUCCUACGGGAGGCAGCAGUGGGGAAUUUUGGACAAUGGGCGCAAGCCUGAUCCAGCAAUGCCGCGUGGAGGAAGAAGGCCUUCGGGUUGUAAACUGCUUUUGUACGGAGCGAAAAGGCUCCCUCUAAUACAGGGGGCUCAUGACGGUACCGUAAGAAUAAGCACCGGCUAACUACGUGCCAGCAGCCGCCGUAAGAC
rnacentral:rRNA from 1 species